UGAAUCUUGUCUGUCUGUCUGACUCAAAAGCACGUGCCUUCUUUAUAUCGCGUGCCUUAAUGUGCUAGCGUGUAAUGAGGGUUUGGUAUAAAGGAAGUAGGUAUGAUCUGUCUUGAAGUUUAUGAGGCCCUGGAGUGAGAUUGCUCAGGAUACCCAGGCCCCCUGAGAGCACUGAGCCUCGUGGAGACAGCAUGAGCUCUGCCCUGGGUCCCCUCACAAACAGCUCAGUUUUAUGAAGAAACAGGAUGAUUCAGAUCCA
rnacentral:lncRNA from 1 species